AGUAAGGCAGGGAGAGGACCAACACAAUGGCACUGAUCCUCAAGAAAAUCAUUCUCAGCUUCUAAAGUUAUAAUAAUUCUCAGCUAAAGGAAGCAUACUGAACACAAUGUUGUAGAUGCAGCACUGAGGUGGCAUCUACAAGACCAUUCUCAGCUACCAGUAGGAGACUGCUAUUUAGGCUGCCUCCACAUGCCAGAUGGGAGAUGGCCCUUGGACUGGAUAUCAGCCGAGAGGUGAGCACACCAGAUGCUGGAGCACUCCUGGGAAGAGAAACAGAAAGAGGAGGAGGAAGGGUGCCAAAAACAAUGUCUUAUUUGGCCAUUUUUCCCUUGACCCUAAUGCUAGAAAGGAAGGAGAGAGGGAAGCUUAAAUAAUUUAUAAAAUCCUGGUGAAUUGUCAAUUAAGUAAAUCCUUUUUAAAAUUUUGUUUUCUUUUAUCUUCUUUUGUUUCUUUUCUAUUAUUUAGUCCUUUAUUACCUGCACUACACAGAUGUAAAAGUAGGUAACUUUUGAAUUAAACUAUACAGUGUGUGAUCCACGGAAAACUUACAUCAUGCUACAUUCACCUGCAAGUUUUUGGCAAAUGUGAAUUUAUUAGUCAUUGAAAUAAGCCAGAAAAAAUGAAACAUACUGGUUUUGUCUUAAGCUUCCCUAGCCCUUCUCUCUCCUUGGUUCAAAUGAGUCACUGACCUGCUCUAGUACACAUCUUGGAAUCUUCGUAACUUCAUAACUUUAUCUUUUGUGAGUUCUUUCAUGCCUGGUUUGAAACUAAGGAAGUGGAAGCAGGGAAGAUAGAAGUGGAAAAUAAUGGAAUUGCUGGAAGAAAAGAAAACUAAGAGAAGAGUCACUUACCAGGACCCAUCAUUCCUUUUACAUUACUGUCUCCUACAUGAACAGAUCUGGACUCUUGGGCUGCAGAGAAAGGAAAGCAUUCAUUCAGCGUUCAUUCCACUAACAUGGACUAAGCACCUUCCACGAGCCUGGCACUGGGGGCAGACUCAGAGAUUGUAGUUUCAUGGGGGAGGCAGAGCAGUAAAAAAAAGAAAUUACAGUAUAGUGUGGCAAGUGCUAUUUUCUCAGCUGUAAAAAGAUAUAAUAGUGGUACUUACCUCAAGGAUUACAAUAAGAAAUAAAU
rnacentral:lncRNA from 1 species